UAGCUGUGAGCUGUCUGUUUCACAAUGAAAAUCUAAUUUGUCUAGGUAUGGAACAUAUUUUCAUAAUUAGCAAUUGUACAGCAGUUUUUAUCCUUGUAUCUUAAAUUAUUUUACAAACAUCUAUUACUGAAGCUACACAUCUUAGAUAAUGCACCCAUUACCCUCCCACACAGUUGGUUAAUGAAAAAGACAGGAAUAAAACACAGAUGACAUUCACUAUCCUUGUCAAUAGCCUUUCUAAUUUCUAAUAUUUUACUUCUGUUUCCUUUUUGGUUUCAAAUUUCAAUGACAGGGAGCCUUUCUCUUCAACUAUGAGAGGAGGAAAAAGUUAAACCUGAGUCAUCUCUCAGCUUUUUAUCUGUUAAACUAAUAAAUAUGGCAGCUUGACACAGUGUUAAAGGUCAUCUCUGGCCCCUUGAGCCAUGGAGGAAUCAUGCCCUGAGGUGGAGUCUGUGGAUGGGGGUGUAGGACGCGACCUGUGUCCUUUGACAGUAAAUGCGGCAGGAGCGGAAGAGAGUGUGGUGGACGCACCACCAUCCUGAGAAGAAAUUUUCAAUCAAUUACUGGAGCCUGCAGUCAGAUUUUUCGCAAGGUGUGUGUGUGGAGUGGAUGGAGAAAGAGAUCACACAGAAACUGAGAACAGAGCAAGAAGGAGAGGCAAGAAAUCCAAGCAGGAGCCUGUAAACACAGUGUGACCGUGGAAAAAGAUGGUACAUCUGAAGAACUGAGAGGUAAAGUGGAAUGCUCAACAUGACACAGCAAGUCAGUGACAAAGCCUGAAACAGAACCUAGAUACUGACUCCUGGUUCUGAAUCUUAAUCAGAAACACGUAUUUCCUGUCCCUGCAUCUGAUUCCUUAUUUUGAGGUACUGUGCUUUAUUGCCAGCUACAGAGCUAAAUCUUAGUUUUACUAAAGCUCUAAUAUUUCAUCAAGAUCCACCAGCACAAACCCAUGUAUCCUUGUGGAGCACCAUUGAGAUCCUGUAGGGGUGUGAGCUGGCAGAUCCCAAAGCAGGCCUAAGUACUUCAAUUCUGAUUUAGUCCUUAGCUAAAAUGACCAUUGACUGCAAUGGAUGAUUUGCUUGAAUAAAGAAUGUAUUAAAACUGGGCAUAAAGAUUUAACCCAAUGAGGAAGAGAGAAUGCAAUCAUCUCGUCAAUUUUAAAGUGUCUUAUUUGAUUAUAAACUCAACUUCCAGAGCUGACACAGAGAUUUUAAUAUGUAAUGCGUAACUUUCAAAGAAGUGGAAAAGCCUUAAUUUGGAUACUCAGAUCAGCGGUUGCUUCUCAUUACACACACACCACCCUCUUACCCCAGCUAAGCCUCUGCCCACAUAGUUCAAAUGCCUGAGUGGUCUUGGAUGUGCCUCUAUUUUGGCUAGAGAUGUGGACUGGUCUUUGUGGUGGUGGAGGCCACUUAACCCUUUCAGCCACCUGAUUUUAACGGCUUCUUUAUAUUUAUCUUGAAUGUAACAUGACAGUUACGGCUGAUAGACAGCAACAUAGUGUAAACCAUCCACAAAUAGUAUGCUUCCAAGUCUAUUUCUAGCUUUUGCUUUGGUUUGUAAAAAUCUGUGUGUCUACCUUUGAGACUACCUCUAACAAACUGUUGUCAGCUGAGGUGCUUUUACUGGCAGCCCCAAGAUUUUAAUUCUGGGGUAUUAGGAGCAGGGCAUUUUCGGUGGAUGUUCCGUAUCUUUACAACUUGCUCCUAUGGUGGUUUCAGCAGAGCCUGUGUUUGCUGACAUGCAGGUCAAAGUGAAAGAAGCAACUGUUUAGCUAGCUUUUAGCCCUGAGGUAAUGUUAGAUAUAAGAGGGCAUCAUGUAUACAGCAGUCAUUUAUGAGGGUGAUCUGAGCUUUCCUCCCCAUUGCAGUUGCUGGAAACUUAAUUUGAGGAGUCUCUGCUGUUGCAGCCAGGUAUAAUCUGUAAAUUAUGAAUUCACUAAUAUUCAUUUUAAUUUUUUAAAGAUUGAGGCUUGAGAAACUGAUGCAUUUAUUAAAAUACUUAUACAAAAGAGUUUUAAAAAAACCCCUCAAAUAGCUCUAUCCUCUGAUCUUUUAAAGUCUCAAUGACAGUAACUGUUAAGAGGAAAAUUAAAAAUGAAUGAGAAAUACAUGAUAGUUUGCAAUAUAAAAGGCAGAAUUCCUCUACAAUAUGUUAGCCAUUGGAAGCCUUUUAUUCUUGCAGCAGAAAGAGAGAGGCACACAAUACAUUUGACCUUCAGAGUGACCCUUGUUUAGUCUAGCAUGUAAGCAACGUUUUAAGUAUAAAUGUCCACAAUCAUUAAAAGAUAAUAAGACUCUUAUACAGCAAAAAUGGCAAAAUUGAACUCCUGAAUUGAAAUUGAAAUCCAUUAUUGGUAACAGUGGAAACCUGAAUUAUUGCAAGAGGAUAAAUUAAGUAGCUCAAGAUGCAAAUACACCAUCACUUCUAAGAACUAGUGAAAAUACAGCAGUUAUUAACUAUACAUUACUUUACAGUUCUUGCUAAUGUACUUUUUUCAAGUCAGUCUUCCCAUAAACUUAGGCAGAUAGUGUCAGCGUUCCCUCCCCAUUCUGAACUCUGGGGUACAGACGUGGGGACCCGCAUGAAAGACCCCCUAAGCUUAUAUUCCACCAGCUUAGGUUAA